GCGGCGGGCGGGCACUUCACGCCACGGGCGCCCGCUGAGCGCUCCGCCCCGCGCAUGCGCUGCCGCGCCCGGGCACAGCCCGCGCUGCCCCCUGGCGGUCGCUACGGGUCCUUCAAAAGUGCAUCCAGCUCAUUCUCAUCAAUGAAGCCAUUUCCGUCCUGGAUAGUGUGGGAGGGACAUCAACAGCAGGAAGGACACAAGCCUUGCAAUUCCCCCUUGGACAUGGGCAUCCCCAGACCCUCACUCGGCACAGCCUGAGCUCCUGGAAGAAAUUUUCCAGCUCUUUGCCUUCAAUGUAGCCAUUUCCUGUGGGAGGAAAAAAAAUGCAGUAAGACUUCUACAGUGUCAGAGCACAGGAGGAGAGGGACAGAUGGUCCCAGGGGACACAGCACUUGUUCCCUCUGCACCAGGACAUGGCUCCAAGGCAGCUGUGGCAACAAGGAAAUGCCAGCCAAUGUUGAUGCUGAGUGUUACACAUACUGGUGAUGCCCAAAUUUGCCAGGUGACAUGCAGCCCUGGAUUUGUCCCUUGCACUCAUUUGUGGAGCACAGGGGACUUUGUUUAUCUUGGUCUUUCCUGCAUUUUCUGUAUCUGAUGCUUCAAUCAGAUGCCUUAAAUAAAGGCAACCCAUCCUGUGCAA